AUGCCUAACUACUCUCCGUCCUCCGCGUCGGCCAUUGUCGCCGAUGCAGUGUCCGGGUCGCACGUCCUCAAGAUCGAGGGAUACUCCCUAACCAAGGGGUGCGGUACCGGUGAAUUCCUCAGAUCCGAGAUCUUUGUCAUCGCAGGCCAUCGCUGGCAUAUCAAAUACUUCCCCGAUGGUGUGGUUUCGGACUACGCCGACUGGAUUGACAUCUUCGUGCAACGUGAUGAUGACACCGAUGGUAAGGACAUCAUGGCGAGACUCUGGAUCAGCUUACUUAACCACGAUGGAGAAUCUGUGCCAUCGCAUGACAUCAUAAGUUCUCAGUUUGAAAAAUAUUCUCCGAAAACUGCACGAGGAUGUAAGAAAUUCAUGAAAAGGAAAGAUUUGGAGGAGUCAAGCUAUCUCAAGGACGAUUGUUUCAGUAUCAGGUGCCAUGUCACCGUCAGGAAUGAGAUCCGCACCUUCAAGACACGGACGUUGGUCGACGUGCCGCCGUCCAACUUGCACCGGCACCUGCUCGACCUCCUCACCAGCGGAAAGGGAGGGGACAUAUCUUUUGAGGUGGGCGGUGAAACGUUCCGGGCACAUAGGUACAUCGUCGCUGCUCGGUCCCCGGUCUUCAUGGCGGAGCUCUUGGGUCCUAUGAAAGAGAAGGCGGCAGCCUGCAUACGGAUUGAUGGCAUGGAAGCUAAAGUCUUCAAGGCGAUGCUUCACUUCAUCUAUACCGACUCUUUGCCUAAUAUCGACGAGGAUGAAAUUGUGGGGAUGGCACAACAUUUACUUGUCGCUGCGGAUAGGUAUAACCUGGAGAGGCUCAAGUUGAUGUGCGAAGAGACGUUGUGCAAGUCCAUCAACAAAGACAGCGCGGCGACUACAUUGGCGUUGGCUGAACAACAUGGUUGUGAUGGUCUCAAGAAGGCAUGCUUUGAGUUCCUCACUUCUGUUGACAACCUCAAGGCAGUCAUGGCAAGUGAUGGUUUUGCACAUCUGAAGAGCAGCUGUCCUUCCAUCCUAGAGGUGCUGGUCACCAAUCUUUCUCGCUGA
rnacentral:rRNA from 1 species